rnacentral:rRNA from 1 species
GAGUUUGAUCAUGGCUCAGAUUGAACGCUGGCGGCAUGCCUUACACAUGCAAGUCGAACGGUAACAGGUCUUCGGAUGCUGACGAGUGGCGAACGGGUGAGUAAUACAUCGGAACGUGCCCGAUCGUGGGGGGAUAACGGAGCGAAAGCUUCGCUAAUACCGCAUACGAUCUACGGAUGGAAGCAGGGGACCGCAAGGCCUUGCGCGGACGGAGCGGCCGAUGGCAGAUUAGGUAGUUGGUGGGAUAAAAGCUUACCAAGCCGACGAUCUGUAGCUGGUCUGAGAGGACGACCAGCCACACUGGGACUGAGACACGGCCCAGACUCCUACGGGAGGCAGCAGUGGGGAAUUUUGGACAAUGGGCGAAAGCCUGAUCCAGCCAUGCCGCGUGCAGGAUG